UGAUCCGGGUUGCGGACAGUGUCUGGUGGGUAGUUUGACUGGGGCGGUCUCCUCCUAAAGAGUAACGGAGGAGCACGAAGGUUGGCUAAUCCUGGUCGGACAUCAGGAGGUUAGUGCAAUGGCAUAAGCCAGCUUGACUGCGAGCGUGACGGCGCGAGCAGGUGCGAAAGCAGGUCAUAGUGAUCCGGUGGUUCUGAAUGGAAGGGCCAUCGCUCAACGGAUAAAAGGUACUCCGGGGAUAACAGGCUGAUACCGCCCAAGAGUUCAUAUCGACGGCGGUGUUUGGCACCUCGAUGUCGGCUCAUCACAUCCUGGGGCUGAAGUAGGUCCCAAGGGUAUGGCUGUUCGCCAUUUAAAGUGGUACGCGAGCUGGGUUUAGAACGUCGUGAGACAGUUCGGUCCCUAUCUGCCGUGGGCGCUGGAGAACUGAGGGGGGCUGCUCCUAGUACGAGAGGACCGGAGUGGACGCAUCACUGGUGUUCGGGUUGUCAUGCCAAUGGCACUGCCCG
rnacentral:rRNA from 1 species